rnacentral:rRNA from 1 species
ACUCAAAUGAAUUGACGGGGACCCGCACAAGCGGUGGAGCGUGUUGUUUAAUUCGAUGCAAAGCGAAGAACCUUACCAGGGCUUGACAUCCUGUGAAGGUCUCCGAAAGGAGACUGUGCCUUCGGGAAUACAGUGACAGGUGUUGCAUGGCCGUCGUCAGCUCGUGUCGUGAGAUGUUUGGUUAAGUCCAUCAACGAGCGCAACCCUUAUAGUUAGUUGAAUUUCUCUAGCUAGACUGCCUCGGCAACGGGGAGGAAGGAGGGGAUGAUGUCAGGUCAGUAUUACCCUUACGUCCUGGGCUACAAACACGCUACAAUGGCCAGUACAAUGGGCAGCGAAGUCGCGAGACGGAGCAAAUCCUAUCAAAGCUGGUCCCAGUUCGGAUAGUAGGCUGAAACUCGCCUGCUUGAAGCCGGAAUCGCUAGUAACGGUGAGUCAGCACAUUACCGUGAAUACGUUCCCGGGUCUUGUACACACCGCCCGU